rnacentral:rRNA from 1 species
CCUACGGGAGGCAGCAGUGAGGAAUAUUGGACAAUGGGCGCAAGCCUGAUCCAGCCAUGCCGCGUGCAGGAUGACGGUCCUAUGGAUUGUAAACUGCUUUUGUACAGGAAGAAACCCUUUCACGUGUGGAAGAUUGACGGUACUGUAAGAAUAAGGAUCGGCUAACUCCGUGCCAGCAGCCGCGGUAAUACGGAGGAUCCAAGCGUUAUCCGGAAUCAUUGGGUUUAAAGGGUCCGUAGGCGGUUUAGUAAGUCAGUGGUGAAAGCCCAUCGCUCAACGGUGGAACGGCCAUUGAUACUGCUAGACUUGAAUUAUUAGGAAGUAACUAGAAUAUGUAGUGUAGCGGUGAAAUGCUUAGAGAUUACAUGGAAUACCAAUUGCGAAGGCAGGUUACUACUAAUGGAUUGACGCUGAUGGACGAAAGCGUGGGUAGCGAACAGGAUUAGAUACCCUGGUAGUCCACGCCGUAAACGAUGGAUACUAGCUGUUGGGCGCAAGUUCAGUGGCUAAGCGAAAGUGAUAAGUAUCCCACCUGGGGAGUACGUUCGCAAGAAUGAAACUCAAAGGAAAUUGACGGCUGAGAGAGCGACGACGACGACGAGGGAGGAGG